AUUGAACGCUGGCGGCAUGCCUUACACAUGCAAGUCGAACGGCAGCGCGGACUUCGGUCUGGCGGCGAGUGGCGAACGGGUGAGUAAUGCAUCGGAACGUACCUUUCAGUGGGGGAUAACGUAGCGAAAGUUACGCUAAUACCGCAUAUUCUGUGAGCAGGAAAGCAGGGGAUCGCAAGACCUUGCGCUGAUUGAGCGGCCGAUGUCAGAUUAGCUAGUUGGUGAGGUAAAGGCUCACCAAGACGACGAUCUGUAGCGGGUCUGAGAGGAUGAUCCGCCACACUGGGACUGAGACACGGCCCAGACUCCUACGGGAGGCAGCAGUGGGGAAUUUUGGACAAUGGGGGCAACCCUGAUCCAGCCAUGCCGCGUGAGUGAAGAAGGCCUUCGGGUUGUAAAGCUCUUUCGGCCGGGAAGAAAUCGCAUGGGUUAAUACCCUGUGUGGAUGACGGUACCGGAAUAAGAAGCACCGGCUAACUACGUGCCAGCCGCCGCUGUAA
rnacentral:rRNA from 1 species